rnacentral:rRNA from 1 species
GAUGAACGCUGGCGGCGUGCCUAAUACAUGCAAGUCGAGCGAACAGACGAGGAGCUUGCUCCUCUGACGUUAGCGGCGGACGGGUGAGUAACACGUGGAUAACCUACCUAUAAGACUGGGAUAACUUCGGGAAACCGGAGCUAAUACCGGAUAAUAUAUUGAACCGCAUGGAUCAAUAGUGAAAGACGGUUUUGCUGUCACUUAUAGAUGGAUCCGCGCCGCAUUAGCUAGUUGGUAAGGUAACGGCUUACCAAGGCAACGAUGCGUAGCCGACCUGAGAGGGUGAUCAGCCACACUGGAACUGAGACACGGUCCAGACUCCUACGGGAGGCAGCAGUAGGGAAUCUUGCGCAAUGGGCGAAAGCCUGACGGAGCAACGCCGCGUGAGUGAUGAAGGUCUUCGGAUCGUAAAACUCUGUUAUUAGGGAAGAACAAAUGUGUAAGUAACUAUGCACGUCUUGACGGUACCUAAAGAGAAAGCCACGGCUAACUACGUG